rnacentral:misc_RNA from 1 species
AACGCACCUUGCGCUCCUUGGUAUUCCGAGGAGCAUGCCUGUUUGAGUGUCAUUAAAUUCUCAACCAUCCUGUCUUUUUUUGAAGGCGGUGAUGCGUUGGAUGUGGGGACUUGCCUUGCGCUUAUUUCAUAAGACAUUGGCUUCCCUUAAAUGCAUUAGCUAGAGCGCUUCUGUUGACUAGCUGCUAGUGUGAUAAUUAUCUACACUGUGGCCAACGAAGAAACUCUGCUUCUAAUCGUCUGCUUGCAGACAAAUUCUGAUAUCUUGACCUCAAAUCAGGUAGGACUACCCGCUGAACUUAA